GCUCCACCGCGCGCAUCGCCUGGGUUCCAGCCUGAGCGUUGAAGAUACUGCCAGGAGCCGCCAGGAGCUGGUGUCCGAGGCUGGGAAAGACCCCGCCCAGCCAAGGGUCAGGCCCGUGGCGGCCACGCCGUUUUCGGGGACGUGCUGGUACUCUCUUCAUGAUUUUCUGCGGGGGCCCUAGCGGUUCUCCACGGCGGCUUCCGAUUUUCAUUUCUAUACUAAGCUGAGGAAAAGAACUCAGGAAACUUGUUCCAGCAAGUUCUACCCUUCCCUCUGCAACCAGUAACAAUAGUUACCAGUGCCUGAAGAAUGAAUGCCAUCUAAUGAGGAGUUCCACAGUCAUUUGGAUCAUUGUGCCCUACAGGUAACAUGUUGCUUAUCUCUGUUCAAUUCAUUGCCUUUACUCCUUUGCAGUUUCAGUUACGCAUUUGAAAACAUGAAUCCUCUCUGAGUUUUGUUAAAGUUUUGAAUCUGUAAGUUGUGUCUUUACCUAAACAGGAAAUUUCAGACAUUAUUAUUUUUCCAUGUUUAUAUUCUUUCUUCUCUGGACUUUGUUGACAUUGUGUUAAACUUUUUGUGAUUAUCCAACAUGUUCCUAAGAUCUUAUUUUUUUUUUUCAGUCUCUUUUCUCCCUAUUCAGAAAGUAUAUAUAUUUUUAAUUGGGUUAUCUUUUCUCUGCCAUCUCCAUUCUGGUAUAAUUUUUUUCUUUUGUAGUCAUUGUAUUUUUGUUUUAAUGUUCCAUUCAAUCUUUAUAUUUUCUGUUAUUGGUGUGACUUUCUGUUCAUUUGUUUCUGAGUUAUUUCACAAUUACAUUCUGGAACAUUUUAAUGUCAACUGUUCUAAGUUCUUUGUUAGAUAAUUUUAAGAGUUUGUAUCUUGGCAUUAGCAUCUGUUGCUUUUUUUCUCCCAUGUGAAUUGAUAUGUUUCUGGCUCUUCAUAUAUUAAUUUUGGAUUGCACCCUGGGUAUUUUGAAUAUUGUGUUAUAAAAUUCUGAGUUUUAAAGCAAAUCUUAUGGAGAAGGCAGUUUUUGUUUUGUUAGGUAAUCAGUCCUGGUUUAGGGCACAUGUUCCAAUCUAUCUUCUUGGGACUGUGGGUUCAAAGUUAACCCAGUUUUCAAGGCUUUUGUAGUGCUCUUUGGAGCCUGUGUGUGUGUGUGUGUGUGUGUAUAAAUGAAAUCGGGGUAAUGACAUAUUGUUUAGUUUAUUAUCAAAUUUAUUAUGUUUACUUGAUCAGAUCUACUUGUGUCCAGCUGUGGGUAAGCCCAGCUUUUAAUUCUUGGGGCUUUAGUUGCUCCUCUCCCCAAUGUGAUUCUUUUAUUUAUUUAUUUGACAGGUAGAGUUAUAGACUGAGAGAGAGAGACAGAGAGAAAGGUCUUCCUUCCAUUGGUUCACUCCCCAAAUUGCCACUAUGGCUGGCGCUGUGCCGAUUCGAAGCCAGGAGCCAGGUGCUUCUUCCCAGUCUCCCAUGUGGGUGUAGGGGCCCAAGCACUUGGGCCAUCCUCCACAGAGAGCUGGACUGGAAGAGGAACAACUGGGACUAGAACCCGGCACCCAUAUGGGAUGCAGGUGCUGCAGGCAGAGGAUUAACCAAGUGAGCCACGGCACUGACCUCCCCCCACAAUGUGAUUCUGUGACUGCUUCUGCAUCCAGAGACUAGUGGCACCAAGACAGAGGGUGCAAAACACCAAUAAAGGUUUGAAUUGCACUUAGGGCCCAAGGCUCUGGGCGCUGUGGAGGAGGGCUCCCUUGCCCCAGGGUCUGGGUUCUUCUGUCC